UUAAGAAACAGAUGAACUAUAUGGGGAGACUGGAAAGUUGUGACUAAUUUAACUCAUUUAGACAGAAUCUUUAAGACAAAUUCCUCUCAAAAUAUGGGAUUUAAGAGGAAUUUUGGACAAUAUAAAUAAGGAUGGUUGGACCGUUAAAUAGGACACAUUUACUAAAAACUCUUCCCUUGAACUCAGUAGCUUCACCUUCAGAAGGACCGUUUUAUUUCACUGCUGCACCAAAAAACCCACCAAAGUUUGUUAAUGUUUCCCUCCUUUUGACCGGCUGUUUUUCUUGUUGCAUUCUGGGAACUGCUUUGCUCUCUUGUUGUCUCACCUGGUUGGAGGGUAAAUCCUCACAUCUGCUGCUGGUUUUCAUCCCUCCUCAGGGCUUUUCUAGCGUCUCUGCUUCACUUUGCUGUGUUUGAGAAGCCUCUCCACCUACAGGAUGAGCUUCAGCAGAGCUUUGGAUGAUGCUCGGUACAGAAAAAAGACAGAACCUCCUCAGAGAAAAUGUCUAAAAGCGGCGAAUAAAUCAAGUUUGAACUCAGGACAUUGGAAGAACAUCCACGGUGAAAUAAAAACAGAGUUCUUCUGGAGGCGGAACAUUCUGAGGACAUCACCAGCUGAUCAAGUUACAGACAAUCCAGAGAUAAACUUUAUUAAACUGUUUCUGUGUUAUCUCAGCUGGAAGUGAGACAAUGAAUCAAGAGGGGAUUUUUUUGUUGUUGCAAACAAAAGAAGAUAAUUUCUUUUGCCUGGGAAUUCAAACAAUCUUUCAGGAGAACUGUCUUCAGGAAAAAGCCACUAAGGCGGAUCGGGAACGUUCAGGCAGGUUUACUUUAGAACAAACAGGCCUUGAUUUGGUUUAAUGGCUCUUAAAGUGAGACGUUCUCCAAACAACGUCGGCCUUUUUCUUGUUAUUCUGCCUGUUUUGUGUUUGAACAAGUCUGACGUUUAGAAAGCUCAAGGUAGCAGCUCCAGGGUUUCCAGGCUCCAGGGUCUCCAGGCUCCAGGGUCUCCAGGCUCCAGGGUCUCCAGGCUCCAGGGUCUACAGGAUCCAGGGUCUGCAAAUUUCUGGGUCUGCAGGUUCCAAGGUCUAUGGGAUCCAGGGUCUGCGGGAUCCAGAAUCUGCAGGAUCCAGAAUCUGCAGGAUCCCGGGUCUACAGCUCCCAUGCUCUGCUGGCGUCAGCUUUCCUGCUCCUCCUCCUGGAGCGAGUCAAUGAUUGGCCGUCCUUCAACGCUCCACUGAUCUUCAUUUCAAGGAGCUGAAACGUCUGCAGACGUUUUUAUGUUUAAUCAAAGGUCGCAGAAGUUAAAACACUUCAGACCUUCACAGAGUUUUUUCACUGAAAAGUUUGCACAUAUUGUUUCCUUCACACAAACACAAUCCAGAAAAAACCUAAAAUAAGUCAGCAAACUCCGUUCUGGUUUAAUCAUUUCAGUUUCAUGUGAAAAAAACGAGUUGUUUCUGUCCUUCGUCUUCUGCUUCAGCGUUUGUGCUUCAGAUGAACGUCGUCUUCAUCAACCGGCCGACUCUUCGUCGGAGCAAAACAACAAACGCAGUGCCACCAGGAAAACCCGUCCAGACCUCCUCGGCCCCUCCAGGCAGGAAUCGGGUCUGCUGGACCCGCCAACGUCUCCUCCGGCAGGUUACAGAACAGAGCGGCAGGAGUUUCUCAGAAAUUCACGUCUCAGUUGACACAGAGUAAGCCCACCCCUACUUCCCAUCAUCCAUCUUGUUUACACUCUCUCCUGCUAGCUUACAGCCCCUCACACCCCCCAACAUAACGUUGGCGGUGCAACACAAAUGGUGAGCGAUACCCCCCCGAGUAAACAGGAAGCUGUUCAGAUGCAGGAAACCGGAGGUGGACGACGUCUGCUGGAGUUCUUUUGGUGUUUGGAUGUUAAAACCACGGAAAACGAGUUAACCACGCCAAGAACAGCAACACCCCAGCAGGAAGUAACCGCUCUCCCCGUUGUCCCACUCCUGGUGAGCGUUGGAGUUCCUGAAUCAACGCAGAAUCACAGGUUUUCAUGUGCUGACAUGACGGAGCACGCUAACAUGCACGUGUCAUGACGGGAACACGUUUCAUCACAGACGAUCGUCACGCCACACGUCAGGCUUUCAGUUGAGCAACAGGAACGAGCGGCCAGAAAACCAGGAGCUUUUAUUUUUUUACGUUGGAAGAGUGAGGAGCAGGAGGGAAGGGCUUAAACAAUCAGGUGUGCAAACAUCCACCAAGGCGGAUCUGCAUGAACUCCUCUGGAGACAGGAUGUCUGAGGAGAUCAGGGCUUCCAUAGAGAUGCAGUUUUGGUUGUUUUUCCCAGCUUUCUGUUUUAAGAUCUUUGAGUUUCUUGAGUUGGUUUAAACAUUUCUAAGCUUGUGACAAAAACAGUGCCAGUUUGAGUAUAUGAAGGCCUUAAAUGAUCUUUUGUCAGUGAACUACAGAAAUAUUGGCCAAAGUAUUAAUGUCUGUUUGUCAAUAAAAAGUAUUUAUUUUGAUUUUUUUCAUCCUUUUACUCUGUUCCGUAAUUGUGUUUUAAACUAGACCUGUAACCGGCACUGUUCGUAACAUUUGAAGGUUUUGCAGUGAAGAUUGUCUAGUUUGGCUCCAGACCAUCACACUCCCCCCACCAUGUUUGAUUACCAUGGUGAGACACAAACGAAGACACAACUUUUUAAGAAAGUCCCACAUUAGUCCAGACGUUCCUCUGUGUUCUUGUCGCUCAAAGUAGAAGAAAACCUGCCGUAGAAGUCUCUUUCUGACGGUCGGAUCGUGACCUCUGACCUAAGUAAGCUGAGAUCUACACUCAGGCUCCGUCCGAAUUCCUUCCUUCACCUCUAACCACUUAAAAAAGUCCAGUUCUCAUGCUCACAACUUUUUGAUUUCACAAAGUUAAAAUCUAAUUGAUGUGAGCGUUUUGUGACGAUUAUUUAUGAGUCUACUGAGUUCUGAAGAAUAAAAUGCUGACGGUUUAUUAAAAAGAAAAACAUUGAAAUACUUUAUUUGGUUAAAAUUGGUCAAACGC